CAAGAACAAGUAAAACAGUUAUUAGAAAAUAUUGAUACUAGAAUUGAAUCAAUAGUUCAACAAGGCAAAAAUAGCUUAUGAGAUGUGCCUCACAUCUGAGCUAUACGCAUGACUCAAUGACAGCAAUUGGAUGAAGGGAUUUGCCUGUCUUUUAUAAAAGGCUCUAACUCUAAUAUACACACACAUUAGUGUGUGCGUAACUUCUAGGUUUUCUCUUGGGAUGUGUGUGCGUAACUUCUAGGUUUUCUCUUAGGAUCUGCUUGAUUUGAGGAAUUUUCCAUGGAAAAUGGAAAAUUUUCACAUUUUUCCUUGUUUGAUUGCAAGAAUUUUCUUAGCAAUCCAUUUUCCAUCCCUCAUCCUCCCACGUGACCCAUUUUUAUUUUAUUUUUUUGGUUUUAUGGAAAACCAAUUUCUAUGGGAUUGGUGGGAAAUCAGUUUUCCAGGCUUUUUUAAAAAUUUUUUUUUUGGUAAUGGAAAAAAAUUCUAUCCACAAUUGUAACAAAUUCUAUCCAUUUAAUUAACAAUUUUCAUAGAACACAAAGCCAAAUGAACACUAAAAGAUCCAAAAUUUUGACAUUUUCUUGGUAGAAAAUUAUACCAAUCAAAUAUAUUUAAUUGAGAAUUCACAAUAUAACAAGUUCUAGAUAAUUUAAUUCCCUGAAAUUCAUUUUCUUUCCACCCAAAUUCCUUUCUUACAAUCAAAUUAACCCUUAGUGGCUGUUCUCUUUACUGUUUUUGUGCCAUUUUCUGUUUUCAAUUUUUUCAUAGUGAAAACAUGUUCUCUUUCUCAAUUUCAAAAUGAAUUUUUGAAAGGAAAAAAAUUGUGCACAAAAUCAAAACGUCUUUUUAGACGUUUUGAGUGUUUUCAGGCAAAAACACAUAAAUAAUUGAAAACGCGAAAAACGCCUAAAUUCAACUUUUUUCAUUUCCCCCAAAACUCUUCCUCUGAACUAUCGAUCCUUUGAAGUAAAAUCUCAAUCUUUGCAUCCCAAGAACAACAUCAGUAGCAGCAGAGGUCUUCCUUCAAUUCUUCUUCACAAUUCCCGAUAGGCAAAUUAAGGGUUUCUCCAAAAAUGAGGUUUUUGUCCUUUUUAUGCUUUUAAUGUGAUUUUGCUCAAUGGGUUUAGCAUAUGAACCCUUUUUUUGUUUAUUUAGGUGUUAUCGCAUGUUAUUUGGGUAUAAUUAUUUUGUCUGGGAAUUUUAAAUUCUUAUUUUAAGUGUUAUUUUCGUCUUUUUCUAUUUAUUAUAUAACAAAAGGUAGUUUUUUUAAGCAA
rnacentral:lncRNA from 1 species